CCUGCGGGAAGAGAUGGCGCGAACACGGGUUACAGGGCAGAAAGGCCGGCCAGGCGCCCCGACUCCGCCCCCCGACUACCCAACGGGACAAAGAAAGCCAGCGCGUGCGCAGAGGGCCAGAGACUCCACGCCCAGCGCGGAGCCCAAUGCGGGGCUUGACCCUGAGAUCGAGACCUAAGCUGAGAUCUAGCAGACUCCAACUCUUAACGGGGGAAGUAAGCAGGGACAGGACAUAUCUUUUGAAACUGGGAAGUGGCACACCAAUUCAGCUGCUCUAGCAAUGGCUUAAAUAACAGUGAAGUUGAUUGACCUCUUGUGUAACAGUCCGAGAGAGUAUGCAAUCCCCGGUGACAUUAACAGGGAGUGAAUUUCCAGUGUCAGGGACUGCCUGCUUAAUUUUCUCUGUCAACUUGACUGGGCCACAGGGCACCCAGAUAUCUGGUCGAACAUUCUCCGGGUGUUUCGGGUGCGAUUAACAUUUAAAUUGGUGACUUAGUAAAGCAGACUAGGCUCCCUGCUGUGGGCGAGCCCAUCCGAUGACAUGAAAGGCCUAUCCUCCUCAGAGGGAGAAAGAAUUCUUUCUGCCUGAUUGCCUUUGACCUGGGACAUGGGCUUUUUUUCCUGCAUCCAGACUCCCACUGAGACAUCAGCCCUUCCUGCAUUUCCAGCUGCCUGCCUUCUGAUGAGACCUACACCAUCAGCUGUCCUGGUACUCAGGCCUUUGGACUCGGACUGGAACUAAACAUCGGCCUUCCUGGGUCUCCAGUUCACCAACUUGCCCUGCGGAUCUCAAGGCUUGCCUACCUCCAUAAUUGUGUUUUUUUUCUAGCCUUCUUCUAGCUUGUGGGUCCACCAUCUGCAACACAUGGUUUCCAUCUCGUGGGGGAAGAGGACACGCCAAUGCCCGACACAGCUCUACUCCAGUCCCAAGAAGGGAGAGGCUGAAAGGGAGGCCAUCCUCUUUGCCUAAAAAAGGCCAUAACUCAGAUGCUGCCCACAUCCCAUUGGCCAGAACCCAUUCACGUGGUAAGACCUAGUUGCAGGGGAGCCUGGGAAAUGUAGUCUUUAGCUGGGCAGCCAUACGUCCAGUGAAAACUUUCCUAUCGUACAUGAUUGAAGGGACAUCUAGCAGUGUUUGCCACACAAAAGAUUGAAACCAAGCAAACAGAGGGCUGAAGCCAAUGUAGUGAUACCUGAAUGAUGUGUAAAGAGACUUGGAAUAGAAAACGCAUUUGAUUGACAUCUAGUCCCUCUCGUUUGCCCACAGUGAGAAUUAUUCAUGCAAACCCAACGUGUCCAUCUCAAUCUUCUAGAACCUGGCAGAAUUGAACUUCCUGGACUCUCUGUGACUCACCAAGGUCACGUGACUAGUUGUUGUCAGUGAAUUUCACGAGGUUA